rnacentral:misc_RNA from 1 species
GAUGAAGAACGCAGCGAAAUGCGAUAAGUAAUGCGAAUUGCAGAAUUCAGUGAGUCAUCGAAUCUUUGAACGCACAUUGCGCCCCCUGGUAUUCCGGGGGGCAUGCCUGUCCGAGCGUCAUUGCUGCCCUCAAGCACGGCUUGUGUGUUGGGCCCCGUCCUCCGAUCCCGGGGGACGGGCCCGAAAGGCAGCGGCGGCACCGCGUCCGGUCCUCGAGCGUAUGGGGCUUUGUCACCCGCUCUGUAGGCCCGGCCGGCGCUUGCCGAUCAACCCAAAUUUUUAUCCAGGUUGACCUCGGAUCAGGUAGGGAUACCCGCUGAACUUAAGCAUAUCAAUAAGCGGAGGA